rnacentral:rRNA from 1 species
UGAGGAAUAUUGGUCAAUGGGCGAGAGCCUGAACCAGCCAAGUAGCGUGAAGGAUGAAGGUCCUAUGGAUUGUAAACUUCUUUUAUAGUAGAAUAAAGUGACCCACGUGUGGGUUUUUGUAUGUAUACUAUGAAUAAGGAUCGGCUAACUCCGUG